GGUUCGGCCCUGCGCGGCCGGGGCCUCGCAAACCCCGCCAGGGUCGGAAGACAGCAACGGUAGUGAGUCACUCCGGGGUGCCGCAGGCCCACCGGACUGGA
rnacentral:SRP_RNA from 1 species